rnacentral:rRNA from 1 species
GACGAACGCUGGCGGCGUGCUUAACACAUGCAAGUCGAACGAUGAAGCUGGAGCUUGCUCCGGUGGAUUAGUGGCGAACGGGUGAGUAACACGUGAGUAAUCUGCCCUUGACUCUGGGAUAACUGCGGGAAACUGUAGCUAAUACCGGAUACGACACCCUCGGGCAUCCGAUGGGUGUGGAAAGAAUUUCGGUCAAGGAUGAACUCGCGGCCUAUCAGCUAGUUGGUGAGGUAAUGGCUCACCAAGGCGACGACGGGUAGCCGGCCUGAGAGGGUGACCGGCCACACUGGGACUGAGACACGGCCCAGACUCCUACGGGAGGCAGCAGUGGGGAAUAUUGCACAAUGGGCGAAAGCCUGAUGCAGCAACGCCGCGUGAGGGAUGAAGGCCUUCGGGUUGUAAACCUCCUUUAGUUGGGAAGAAGCGAAAGUGACGGUACCAACAGAAAAAGCACCGGCUAACUGCGUGCCAGCCGCCGCCGUAA